GCGAGCGUGGCGUAAUUGGUAGCCGCGACAGUUUUAGGUGCUGUUGGAUUUGUCAUCCGUGGGGGUUCGAGUCCCCCCGCUCGCA
rnacentral:tRNA from 1 species